CGGGUCUUGAUUGGUUUAAUUGGUAAAAUUACUGGGACUUGUUAUCAACGAUUUUAGUUCGAAUAACUUCACGUAGCUUUUUAAUAUUUGUUAUCUUAAUAGAUUAGGUGAAGGCUAAAAAUGUCUAUCAAGUAGGCACCUAUACUAAUUGAUCUUGUCCUUGUCCACGAAAGCAUGAUUGGUGUGCAUGACAGCAUAUCAAUCACAUUAAAAAGUAUACGUUGUAUACCUGAUUAUAAUACAAUUGCACGGGAUAAGAUGAUCUAAAAGAACCAUCGGACUCAAUAUGACUAUUCUAGCUACCACG
rnacentral:lncRNA from 1 species